CCUACGGGAGGCAGCAGUGGGGAAUUUUGGACAAUGGACGCAAGUCUGAUCCAGCCAUUCCGCGUGCAGGACGAAGGCCUUCGGGUUGUAAACUGCUUUUGUACGGAACGAAAAAGCUCUUAUUAAUACUAGGAGUCCAUGACGGUACCGUAAGAAUAAGCACCGGCUAACUACGUGCCAGCAGCCGCGGUAAUACGUAGGGUGCAAGCGUUAAUCGGAAUUACUGGGCGUAAAGCGUGCGCAGGCGGUUAUAUAAGACAGAUGUGAAAUCCCCGAGCUUAACUUGGGAACUGCAUUUGUGACUGUAUAGCUAGAGUACGGCAGAGGGGGAUGGAAUUCCGCGUGUAGCAGUGAAAUGCGUAGAUAUGCGGAGGAACACCGAUGGCGAAGGCAAUCCCCUGGGCCUGUACUGACGCUCAUGCACGAAGACGGUGGGGAGGACGAACGAGAGUAGUAGUACCGUACGGUACGGUACCGUACCGACCCGUAACCGUAACGUACGUACGUAACUACGGUUAGGUUUGGGUUUCGGUUUCGUUACCGUACGUACGUACUACGUAACGUAACGUAACGUAACCGUACCGUCGGUAGGUUAGGUACCGGCCGGUCGGGUACGGGUAACGGGUACCGGUCCGUUACGGUUAGGUAACGUUAACGUUAACGGAAGUUAGUUAGGCGUGAGAGNGCGACGGACGACGACGAGGAGGAGG
rnacentral:rRNA from 1 species